UACGUAGGUGACAAGCGUUGUCCGGAAUCACUGGGCGUAAAGCGCACGUAGGCCGAUUGUUAAGUCAGGGGUGAAAUCCUGGAGCUCAACUCCAGAACUGCCUUUGAUACUGGCGAUCUCGAGUCCGGGAGAGGUGAGUGGAACUGCGAGUGUAGAGGUGAAAUUCGUAGAUAUUCGCAAGAACACCAGUGGCGAAGGCG
rnacentral:rRNA from 1 species